rnacentral:pre_miRNA from 1 species
UAAGUACUCCCUCCGUCCCAAAAUAAGUGUCUCGAGCUUAGUACAACUUUGUACUAGAGUUAGUACAAAGUUGAGACACUUAUUUUGGGACGGAGGGAGUAUGAC